rnacentral:rRNA from 1 species
AACGAACGCUGGCGGCAUGCCUAACACAUGCAAGUCGAACGAGACCUUCGGGUCUAGUGGCGCACGGGUGCGUAACGCGUGGGAACCUGCCCUUAGGUUCGGAAUAACUCCCCGAAAGGGGUGCUAAUACCGGAUAAUGUCUUCGGACCAAAGAUUUAUCGCCUUUGGAUGGGCCCGCGUUGGAUUAGCUAGUUGGUAGGGUAAAAGCCUACCAAGGCGACGAUCCAUAGCUGGUCUGAGAGGAUGAUCAGCCACACUGGGACUGAGACACGGCCGAGACUCCUACGGGAUGCAGCAGUGGGGAAUAUUGGACAAUGGGCGAAAGCCUGAUCCAGCAAUGCCGCGUGAGUGAUGAAGGCCUUAGGGUUGUAAAGCUCUUUUACCCGGGAUGAUAAUGACAUUACCGGGAGAAUAAGCUCCGGCUAACUCCGUG